rnacentral:rRNA from 1 species
GGAAGGUGGGGACGGACGUCAAGUCAUCAUGGCCCUUAUGUCCUGGGCGUACACACGUGCUACAAUGGCCGGUACAGAGCGCAGCGAGGCCGCGAGGCGGAGCGAAUCGCUUAAAGCCGGUCCCAGUACGGAUUGGAGUCUGCAACCCGACUCCAUGAAGUUGGAAUCGCUAGUAAUCGCGCAUCAGCAUGGCGCGGUGAAUACGUUCCCGGGCCUU